rnacentral:rRNA from 1 species
AACGAACGCUGGCGGCAUGCCUAACACAUGCAAGUCGAACGAGACCUUCGGGUCUAGUGGCGCACGGGUGCGUAACGCGUGGGAACCUGCCCUUAGGUUCGGAAUAACUCCCCGAAAGGGGUGCUAAUACCGGAUAAUGUCUUCGGACCAAAGAUUUAUCGCCUUUGGAUGGGCCCGCGUUGGAUUAGCUAGUUGGUAGGGUAAAAGCCUACCAAGGCGACGAUCCAUAGCUGGGCUGAGAGGAUGAUCAGCCACACUGGGACUGAGACACGGCCCAGACUCCUACGGGAGGCAGCAGUGGGGAAGAUUGGACAAUGGGCGAAAGCCUGAUCAAGCACUGGCGAGUGAGUGAUGAAGGCCUUAGGGUUGUAAAGCUCUUUUACCCGGGAUGAUAAUGACAUUACCGGGAGAAUAAGCCCCGGCUAACUCCGUG